CGAACGGUCGCGUAACACGUAAGCAACCUGCCCGAAAGACCGGGACAACAGUUCGAAAGGGCUGCUAAUACCGGAUGUGACCGAGGGGAGACAUCUUUCCUUGUUUAAAUCCUUGCAAAGGGGCUUUCGGAGGGGCUUGCGGCCUAUCAGCUAGAUGGUUGGGUAACGGCCUACCAUGGCUUCGACGGGUAGCUGGUCUGAGAGGAUGGUCAGCCGGACUGGGACUGCGAUACGGCCCAG
rnacentral:rRNA from 1 species